rnacentral:rRNA from 1 species
AGUGAACGCUGGCGGUAGGCCUAACACAUGCAAGUCGAACGGCAGCACAGUAAGAGCUUGCUCUUACGGGUGGCGAGUGGCGGACGGGUGAGGAAUACAUCGGAAUCUACUUUUUCGUGGGGGAUAACGUAGGGAAACUUACGCUAAUACCGCAUACGACCUACGGGUGAAAGCAGGGGAUCUUCGGACCUUGCGCGAUUGAAUGAGCCGAUGUCGGAUUAGCUAGUUGGCGGGGUAAAGGCCCACCAAGGCGACGAUCCGUAGCUGGUCUGAGAGGAUGAUCGGCCACACUGGAACUGAGACACGGCCCAGACUCCUGCGGGAGGCAGCAGGGGGGAAUAUUGAACAAGGGGCGAAAGCCUGACCCAGCCAUGCCGGGUGGGUGAAGAAGGCCUUCGGAUUGUAAAGCUCUUUUGUGGGGAAAGAAAAGCAGCGGUUUAACCCCCGCUUUUCCGGACGGUACCAAAAAAAAAAGCACCGGCUAACUUCGUG